UACGUAGGUGGCAAGCGCUGUCCGGAUUUAUUGGGCUUAAAGGGUGCGUAGGCGGCUCCAUAAGUUAGUGGUGAAAUACGGCAGCUCAACUGUCGAGGUGCCAUUGAUACUGCGGAACUUGAGUGUUGAUGAGGCAGGCAGAAUUGACGGUGUAGCGGUGAAAUGCUUAGAUAUCGUCAAGAACACCGAUAGCGAAGGCAGCUUGCCAAGCAACAACUGACGCUCAGGCACGAAAGUGCGGGGAUCAAACAGG
rnacentral:rRNA from 1 species